UCCUUCUCUCUUCCAAUUUCGUACCUACUCUCUACCGAUCUCACCAUCGUCAUUCUCUCUCUCUCUCUCUUUCUCUCUCUCUCUCACACACACACACACACACACACACACGAAGCUGAGAGCAAAGGAAUGGUGUGAUUCAAAGUCACUGCCUUCACCAAUGGAGCACCGACAGUACCACCGUCCAGCCUCGAUCCCGUCAUCUCUAAGCCCUUGCUUGUCUGACCUCGACCACUUCUCGGUCUCGAUUAAUGCGUCUAUGGACUCGCGAUUUGGUUGACGAAUUCACCAUACCAUGGAUGCUAAUGGAGCUACCAUGGUUUCUAGGGUUAAUCGCACGAACUUGUUAUCAAAGUUGUUGGUUGCUGGUUUGGCUCUUUUUGUGAUCUGAAUUCACAAAACAAGUUAAGUCACUAUAUCAGAAGGCAGAAUCCACUUAUUUGAACCUUCUACAAGGUCGAUGUAUUCCCACUGAAGAUACUUAUGCUCUUCUAGUAAAGGCCACUGCAUAUCUGGCCUGCUAGCUAAGGCUGAAGCUGUCUUUGUUGAGAUGAGAAAAAAUGGCCACCCCCCAAGUAUGUUCUCGUCUUUUAUGCCCUCACAUUUAAUCCAACUGUUAUGGCUAACAAUCCUACUCUGAAAGUUUUCUCGAAAGGAUAACUUUCUUCAAUUGUGGAAGUCCUUACUUAACUAUAUCUGUUCAUUAUCGACAACCUUCAGAAUUGAAGCUUUUCAGAAUCAGCUUUCAAGCAGUGUGAAAAGUUUUUUUUAAGUCUAAAAGAAAGAGCAAAACCAUUGCCAAAUGAACUAGCACAGCUUUCAAGAUGUCAGAACCCAAAAUCCAGUAACACGCCCUUAUUACUCAGUUUAUAGUUCUUUAUGGGUUAUUUGUAUCUGGAUGCAUUUGCUUCUGAAAUACUUCUCAGUAAGCAUUGUAAUUACUCAGUCUCCAAUAAAUUGCCUCCUUACCCGAAACCCACGUAUGCUAUUAUUAUUGUCAUACUAAUUGCCUUUGUGGCCACAAGAAGUGUAAAAGGUCAUAAGUGGAUUGUUUAUUGAGAGGUACUGCACAUUCACAAUCAGCUUUUGACAAUUGUUUUUUGACAUGCUUCUUUUUUUUUUCACAAUGCUUAUUUGUAUGCGAGUACAGUUGUAUAUAAUGCUUACAUGAAUGGGUUACUGAAGGGAACAAACUCACAAAAAGUAGUAGAGAUCUUUAAAAGGAUGAAGAGAGAUCACUGUGAACCAUCUACUAAAACUUAUACAAUGAUGAUUAGCCUAUAUGGAAAGGAGCACUAUGCUCACUGUCUGCCACCAUUGAUCAAUAAUGUAUGUGUUUGAAUAGCCAAGUGGCCCGGCUGGUAGUUUAAUGCGUGUGGUUGAAGUUCCAUCUUUUUACAUAGUUUUCUCAUAUGAAUAGUUAUGUAUCGCGUACGGAUUGGUAUAUGUCGUUCGCCAAUUGGUCAUGGUAUGUGUUCGCCGUUGGGAGCAAAAGGGUAUAAACUCGGCAAAAAAUUAAGCUUCAAAUAAAGAACAUCUCCGUGGGCAAAGAAUUGGGGUACUUGAAUGAGAUGGCUGCCUAGUUUAGGAUUACAUUUUCUGGAAAGAGAUUACAUAAGUGUUUCUUUUGUGAGUGUAAUUAGUUUGACUCUUAAAUGUAGUUUGUGCUGGAAAAUUAUUCUUCAAGCUAUUGUAAUGAAUCUUCGGUUGAAUUAUUUAUCUUACAUUGAAAUUGUAUCGUGUUUGGAUGUACUUUGGUAUUGAAUGGAAUGCAGAUUUUCUGUAUGAAAAUGCUAGUAUAUUG